UGUGGCGCAUGCCACGCUUUUGAAAGAUGGUUUCGGCUAUAGCUUGCAGAUGGGCCCGCGGUGCAUUAGCUAGUUGGUAGGGUAAUGGCCUACCAAGGCAACGAUGCAUAGCCGACCUGAGAGGGGGAUCGGCCACACUGGGACUGAGACACGGCCCAGACUCCUACGGGAGGCAGCAGUAGGGAAUCUUCCGCAAUGGACGAAAGUCUGACGGAGCAACGCCGCGUGUAUGAAGAAGGUUUUCGGAUCGUAA
rnacentral:rRNA from 1 species